GGGAAACCCCAAAAACGGGAAACUCCAAAAACGGGGGCACCCCAAAAAUGGGGGAGGGACCAAAAAACAGGAAACCCCAAAAAUGGGGGGGACCGAAAACGGGAAACCCCCAAAAACGGUUGGACCCAAAAAUGAGGGGAACCCAAAAAUGAGAAACCCCAAAAAGGGGGGCACCCCAAAAAUGGGGAGACCCAAAAACAGGAAACCCCAAAACCAGGGGGGCACCAAAAACGGGGGUACACCAAAAAUGGACGGACCCAAAAACGGGAGGGCACCCGACAACAGGAAACCCCAAAAACAGGGGGACCCCAAAAACAGGGGGAAACCCAAAAAUAGGAAUUCCAGAAAUGGAAAACCCCAAAAAUGGGGUGGCCUCAAAAAUGGGAAUUCCUGAAAAUGGGGAGAGCCCCAAGAGCGGGGGGUGGGUUUUUGGGGUGUUCCGUGGGUAUUUUGGGGUGUUCCGUGGGUAUUUUGGGGUGUUCUGUGGGUUUUGGGGUGUUCUGUGGGGUUUGGCGGGUGUUUUUGGUUGUUCUAUGGUGGUUUGGGGUGGUUUGGGGUGUUCUGUUGGUUUUUGGGCUGUUUUAGGGUGCUUUGGGUUGUUCUGUUGGUUUUUUGGGGUGCUUUGGGCCGUUCUGUGGUUUUUUUGGGCUGUUUUGGGGUGUUGUGGGUGUAUUUUGGGGUGGUUUCGGGUGUUCUGUGGUGUUUUUGGGGGUGUUUUGGUUGUUUCUGGGGUUGUUUUGGGCCGUUCUGUGGUUUUUUGGGCUGUUUGGGGUGUUAUGGGUGUAUUUUGGGGUGGUGUUGGGUGUUCUGUGGUGUUUUUGGGGGUGUUCUGUGGUGUUUUUGGGGUGGUUUGGGCCGUUCUGUGGUUUUUCGGGCUGUUUGGGGUGCUGUGGGUGUGUUUUGGGGCCCCUUUCCCCACUCCCCCCUCUCCCCCCAGAAAGCCACGGCGCUGCCGGCCAAGCGCGCCGAGUACUUCGACAGCUCGGAGCCGGUGCAGAACCGGCUCUACAAAUCCCUCAAGGUGUGGUCCAUGCUGGCCGACCUGGAGGAGAGCCUGGGCACCUUCCAGUCCACCCGGGCUGUGUACGAGCGCAUCCUGGACCUGCGCAUCGCCACCCCCCAGAUCGUCAUCAACUACGCCCUGCUGCUGGAGGAGCACGGCCGCUUCGAGGACAGCUUCAAGGCGUACGAGCGCGGCAUCGCGCUGUUCCGCUGGCCGCACGUCGGGGACCUGUGGCUCACGUACCUGUCCAAGUUCGUGGCCCGCUACGGCGGCCGGAAGCUGGAGCGCGCGCGGGACCUGUUCGAGCAGGCGCUGGACGGGU
rnacentral:lncRNA from 12 species